rnacentral:tRNA from 1 species
GCCUGGGUGGCUCACUCGGUUGGGUGUCAGACUUCGGCUCAGGUCAUAAUCUCGUGGUUUGUGGGUUCGAGCCCCACGUCAGGCU